GACGAACGCUGGCGGCGUGCUUAACACAUGCAAGUCGAGCGGUAAGGCCCUUUCGGGGUACGACGAGCGGCGAACGGGUGAGUAACACGUGGGUGACCUGCCCUCAGCUCUGGGAUAAGCCUGGGAAACCGGGUCUAAUACCGGAUAUGACUCCAUGACGCAUGUUGUGGGGUGGAAAGCCUUGUGCGGCUGAGGAUGGGCCCGCGGCCUAUCAGCUUGUUGGUGGGGUGANGGCCUACCAAGGCGACGACGGGUAGCCGGCCUGAGAGGGCGACCGGCCACACUGGGACUGAGACACGGCCCAGACUCCGUACGGGAGGCAGCAGUGGGGAAUCUUGCGCAAUGGGCGAAAGCCUGACGCAGCGACGCGCGUGA
rnacentral:rRNA from 1 species